CGGGGUGAGUAAUGUCUGGGAAACUGCCUGAUGGAGGGGGAUAACUGCUGGAAACGGUAGCUAAUACCGCAUAACGUCGCAAGACCAAGGAGGGGGACCUUCGGGCCUCUUGCCAUCGGAUGUGCCCAGAUGGGAUUAGCUAGUAGGUGGGGUAACGGCUCACCUAGGCGACGAUCCCUAGCUGGUCUGAGAGGAUGACCAGCCACACUGGAACUGAGACACGGUCCAG
rnacentral:rRNA from 1 species